GUAUUACAACAUUAAAUUAUAUCUAUCUAAUUUGUACUAUCUAUAAAUCUAAUGAAUCAUCUAUUGUUUAAAUCUAAUUAUUGAUAGCCCAGUAAAAUUUCUGGUAGACCCAAAAUUUAAAUGAUAAGAUUAGAGAUUAAAUGUAAUAUGACUUUUUAGAAAUAGGUCCAUUAAAUCUAUUUUUUAAAAAUAUCACACAUAAAUUAAGGUUGUGACUUCUGUUUUAAUAUAUAAGAUAUUUUACAUCCGUACACAUAACUCAUGAUCUAUCAAAGUUUAUCAAAGCAAUAUUCCAGAAAAGAAAAAAAAAAGAAAAAAAAGUUUCAAUUACACGAUUUUUUGUCUAAUAUAAUGAAAACCAUUCAAUGUAUGAAAAUGUACCAAUAACUACACCAAGAUUAUGUUAAUGCAUACCAUAUAUAUACCAUAUGUUGACAACAUCGUAAUCAGAUUUAAUCGAUAUAGCAUAAAUUAAUGGGGUUAAUCCGUAAUUAAAAUAAACUUAAUUUAAACCAAACAACCCGACCCAACCUAAUUAACCCAACCCGCACACAGAAACCUCGUCUUAACCCGAAAAAACAGACACGAAAUCGUUAGGAUUUGUAAAGCAAAAUCGAUUUGGGGGUUUCUAACACACAGAGAGAGGGACAGAGACAGAGAGAUCAAGUGAAAGAGAUUGAGAGAAAUUACAAAUCGAGCACCUAAGAGAUCAAGUGAAAGGGAUUGAGAGAAAUUACAAAUCGAGCACCUAAUUUCGUUUUCAUUCUUUAAAAUAGAUGUGGGGAGUGGGAAAAAUGUAAAAUCGGGUUUUAAGAAGCGUCAUUGGAGUAAUUCGUUUGCGAUAGUGUGGCUUCUGGAGAUUCAGUUAGAGGAAGAGGGUGAAGCGUUCUGGGAAUCACAAUGAGUGAUCCAGUGUCAGUGAUCAAUUUCUUUCAUUCGGGUGUAUUCACAUUUGAAGAUGGAAAGUUGAAUUUUGUGAAUGGUCUUUUGGAGCAGUUUGUAGUUGAUGGUAUAGUAAUCUUUGAAGACGUAACGAAGGAGAUGAUUUAGAAAGGUAUUAUGGAGAAAAUGUGGUACAAGUUACCAUAUGAAGACAUCUUGGACAAGAAACCUUUGUUUGAUAAUGUAGAGGAAAACAAAAGGAAAACGAAUGCUAUAAUACCUGACUUGACUUCUCUCGGCUGUCUUUUUUUUGUUUUUAGGUGUCUUCUUUGGUCUUCGGAUAUGACCUUUUAGUGUUCGAAAAUGUCUCUUAUUGUGAAUGUUAUGAUAUUGCUCUUGUUAUGUAUGACAAGUCGCCUAUUUUAGAUGUUAAAACAAUGACUUCAAACUCUAUUUUGAAUGAAAAUUCAGUUGAUGUUCAAAGCAUUACAAAGAA